GACCCAGUGGUGCAAUUUCCAGCACGUCUGCACAAUUUGGUACCGAACCGGAACAAGGUUCUGCAGGAGCUCCCUGUUCGAGUCAGGGCUGGGUCA